GCUGCAUCGCUAACGCUUCUAGACCGUUCUCGUGGUACUCCCAGGCGCCCAUCCCCCCAGCAGAGUGAUAUAAUUGAAAGUGCUUCUAUAUUUGAGGAAGAACAAAUUGGUGGUUGAAUGGUGGAUUAAUAAGUAGCUGUUGUAUUACCAGAAUAAGAAGAUAUUUUGGGAGUUGGGAAGAACCUGAUUUUCACCCUAGCCUGGCAGCUUUGCUGCUCGCUUAAACACAGAUGAAUGAAGACCCCAUUUGGAAAAUCACCAGGUCAGCGGUCCAGAGCUGAUGCAGGUCAUGCAGGAGUCUCUGCGAACAUGAUGAAGAAAAGAACCUCCCACAAGUAAGUUGACAAUAUCUUUCCUGAAGUAUAGUUCUCAAUAACUGGAGGUACUGUUCUGGAAAUAUAUAUGUAUUGUUCCACUCAUUUUGCUCUUGAAAAUCAUGUGGAAUAGUAUUCAGUGUAUGUGUGUAGAGUCAUACAUUAAUUCUUUUAGGAGGACAGUGGGAAAGAAUGCACCAUUGGUAGAGUUCUAAGCAUAAUUUUGAAUGUUACUCUGAGAGAAAUUAUCCUGUCGAUACAAUUAUGUAAUUUAUAAUUCAGAGACAAGAGGUUGCAAGCUGGAAAUUUGGGGGCACAUGUACUCUAGGAUUCAUUAGAGCUUUAGGUUUUGAAGAGGAUUUUCACUU